rnacentral:tRNA from 1 species
UGAGGUGUAGCUCAGUGGUAGAAUACUUGCCUAGUACACCUGAGGCCCUGGGUUCAAUCCCUACCACUCCAA